UAGGGAAUCUUCCACAAUGGACGCAAGUCUGAUGGAGCAACGCCGCGUGAGUGAAGAAGGUUUUCGGAUCGUAAAGCUCUGUUGUUGGUGAAGAAGGAUAGAGGCAGUAACUGGUCUUUAUUUGACGGUAAUCAACCAGAAAGUCACGGCUAACUACGUGCCAGCAGCCGCGGUAAUACGUAGGUGGCAAGCGUUGUCCGGAUUUAUUGGGCGUAAAGCGAGCGCAGGCGGAAUGAUAAGUCUGAUGUGAAAGCCCACGGCUCAACCGUGGAACUGCAUCUGAAACUGUCAUUGUUGAGUGCAGAAGAGGAGAGUGGAAUUCCAUGUGUAGCGGUGGAAUGCGUAGAUAUAUGGGAGAACACCAGUGGCGAAGGCGGCUCUCUGGUCUGCAACUGACGCUGAGGCUCGAAAGCAUGGGUAGCGAACAGG
rnacentral:rRNA from 1 species